rnacentral:rRNA from 2 species
UACGAACUGUGCAAACGUUAUUCGGAUUCACUGGGCUUAAAGGGUGCGUAGGCGGCCAUGUAAGUAGGGUGUGAAAUCCCCCGGCUUAACCGGGGAACUGCGCCCUAAACUGUGUGGCUUGAGUGAGAUAGGGGUGUGUGGAACUUCCGGUGGAGCGGUGAAAUGUGUUGAUAUCGGAAGGAACGCCGGUGGCGAAAGCGACACACUGGGUCUCAACUGACGCUGAGGCACGAAAGCCAGGGGAGCGAACGGG